CUGGCUCAGGAUGAACGCUAGCGGCAGGCUUAACACAUGCAAGUCGAGGGGCAUCGGGAGUAGCAAUACUGCCGGCGACCGGCGCAAGGGUGCGUAACGCGUGAGCAACAUGCCCGUAUCAGGGGGAUAAUCCAUGGAAACGUGGUCUAAUACCCCAUAGUAAUUAUGUAAGGCAUCUUAUAUAAUUUAAAGCUUUGGUGGAUACGGAUUGGCUCGCGUGACAUUAGCUGGAUGGUAAGGUAACGGCUUACCAUGGCUACGAUGUCUAGGGGUUCUGAGAGGAAGGUCCCCCACACUGGAACUGAGACACGGUCCAGACUCCUACGGGAGGCAGCAGUGAGGAAUAUUGGACAAUGGAUGGAAAUCUGAUCCAGCCAUGCCGCGUGCCAGGAAGACGGCCCUAUGGGUUGUAAACUGCUUUUGUAUGGGAGCAAUAAGGGCUACGUGUAGUCCGAUGAGAGUACCAUACGAAUAAGCACCGGCUAACUCCGUGCCAGCCGCCGC
rnacentral:rRNA from 1 species